ACUCCUACGGGAGGCAGCAGUGGGGAAUAUUGCACAAUGGGGGAAACCCUGAUGCAGCCAUGCCGCGUGAGCGAUGAAGGCCUUAGGGUUGUAAAGCUCUUUCAGCGGGGAAGAUAAUGACGUUACCUACAGAAGAAGCACCGGCUAACUCCGUGCCAGCAGCCGCGGUAAUACGGAGGGUGCGAGCGUUAAUCGGAAUUACUGGGCGUAAAGCGCAUGCAGGCGGCCUGUUAAGUCAGAUGUGAAAGCCCGGGGCUUAACCUCGGAAUUGCAUUUGAAACUGGCAGGCUAGAGUCUUGUAGAGGGGGGUAGAAUUUCAGGUGUAGCGGUGAAAUGCGUAGAGAUCUGAAGGAAUACCAGUGGCGAAGGCGGCCCCCUGGACAAAGACUGACGCUCAGAUGCGAAAGCGUGGGGAGCAAACAGGAUUAGAUACCCUGGUAGCGACUG
rnacentral:rRNA from 1 species